AUUGAACGCUGGCGGCAUGCCUUACACAUGCAAGUCGAACGGCAGCACGGGAGCAAUCCUGGUGGCGAGUGGCGAACGGGUGAGUAAUGUAUCGGAACGUGCCCAGUCGUGGGGGAUAACGUAGCGAAAGCUACGCUAAUACCGCAUACGAUCUAUGGAUGAAAGCGGGGGAUCGCAAGACCUCGCGCGAUUGGAGCGGCCGAUAUCAGAUUAGGUAGUUGGUGGGGUAAAGGCUCACCAAGCCGACGAUCUGUAGCUGGUCUGAGAGGACGACCAGCCACACUGGGACUGAGACACGGCCCAGACUCCUACGGGAGGCAGCAGUGGGGAAUUUUGGACAAUGGGCGCAAGCCUGAUCCAGCAAUGCCGCGUGCAGGAUGAAGGCCUUCGGGUUGUAAACUGCUUUUGUACGGGGCGAAAAGGCUCUCUCUAAUACAGGGGGCUCAUGACGGUACCGUAAGAAUAAGCACCGGCUAACUACGUGCCAGCCGCCGCCGUAA
rnacentral:rRNA from 1 species